rnacentral:lncRNA from 1 species
AUAGAAUAUGAGUUGAUAGAAGAAGAUUUACCGAACAAGAGCCCUCUGCUUCUUCAAUCAAACCCUGUUCAUAAGAAAAUCCCAGUGUUGUUGCACAAUGGCAAGCCCAUUGCUGAGUCACUUGUAAUUGUUGAAUAUAUUGAUGAGACAUUUGAUGGCCCUUCCAUUUUGCCUAAAGACCCUUAUGACAGAGCAGUUGCACGUUUCUGGGCUAAGUUCCUCGAUGAGAAGGUAAGUUGAAUUCCCUUGCUCUACGUUGCUACAUACAUUUACACCAUGGUAAUGUAAUAAAUGGCCAAUGACUCUUCAUGUUUAAUGUGCUGAGAGCAGGAACGGAUUUAAGGCACGGAAGGGGGUUCGUCUGAAAAUAUAUAAGGCAAAUUCUUCUUGUGCAUCUAUAUUAUAUAUCCCCUUGACAUAGUUCAAAAGCAUAGCUCAAUAGUCAAGGGGUUCAAAACCUUUGUGAAAUUGCUAGUUCAAUUCUCACUUGCCAUAGUCUCUAUAAAUUUUUAAUUUUUUUCUUUUUUGAACCCACUUAGCAGAAAUCCUGCUCCCCGUCGCUAGCUGAGAAAAUGGAUUGUUGUCUCAUUAUAUGAUCUAGAAUAAUUCUUACCUCAUGUAUUAAUUUUAGGUACUAUUAACAGCGGGUUGCCACUUAGACAAUUUUAGACCCAUGAUAAAGUGCAGCAUGUUACGCUAAGUUUCCGCUAUGCGCGGGGUCCAAAAGAAGACCGAAUCGGAUUAGGAUUGAAUCAGGCAGCCUUAUCUUAAAUUUCUAUAAGAGGUUGUUUUCGCCGUAUGAAUCCGUAACUUCCUGAUUAUAACAAAUUUUACUGUUACUUCAAGGUUUUCGUUCAAAAUUAGACCCAUGAUAUAUUAAUUUUGAAGUUUUAAACUUCAACGCGAUUGUCACUUUUGGCCUAAUUUCGGAAAAGUGAGCAACUUCUAAAUAUAAAACCACAAAAGUGAUUAUUUGAAUAAAUCAGAUUGAGUUUAGGUCAAAGUCUAUUUUCUUUGUAGUUCACUUUGUUUAUAAUGUCCUACCUUUUCUCAGUGCUUGCCAGCAGCGUGGAAAGCUUUGUGGAGUAAAGGAGAGGAGCAAGAGAAAGAUAAAGAGGAAACAUAUGAGGUACUUAAAGUUCUAGACAAUGAACUCAAGGACAAGAAGUUCUUUGGCGGAGAAAAAAUUGGAUUUGUUGACAUAGCAGCCAAUUUUGUUGGAUUUUGGGUGGGAAUUGUUGAAGAAGCUACUGGAGUAGUGUUAGUGACUAGUGAAAAGUUUCCCCAUUUAUGUGUGUGGAGAGAUGAGUACCUUAACUGCAGUCAAGUCAAGGAAAAUAUGCCUAAUAGGGAUAUGUUGCUUGGUUAUUUCAAAGGUCGAGUCCAAGCUGCAGUUACUGCCACUGCUCCCAAAUGAACUAUAUGAAAUUUCAAGAGCUUUUUGUGGGAAUAAAAUCAUAAAUCUAGCUAGCUUUCUAGAAAUGAGAUUUGUCAUAAGAAAAAUAAAGCUUUCUCAACUUAGUGAUGUACUUGUUUUCCUCUUCUUCUUCUUUUAUCUUUUAUAUUGUUAUAAUUUACAUAUUGUGGAGAAUAAACAGUUCUUGAUCG